GUUCUCCACCUUAGAUGGACCUCUGUAUUUUCCUCCUUUUGAUAGUGUUCUCUUAAUACAAAAAGGAGCACUAGAAUUACACGUAGAUCAAGGGAACAAGCAAGGAGAGGUGUUCAGGAAUCACACCAUUCCUUGGCUGAGGAUUUUGAAGGAGAUGUAACAGAACAAUGAGCCAUGCUUUUAUCAACCACAUAUGAGCUUUCUUCACAACUUUGAAGUAUCUGAUUCAGCCACUUUGAAAUCCAGGAAAUGAUCCUGAAGAAUCCCACACUUACAUUCCCAAGUGUGAACCAUUAGAGCUUCUGACUGGACUGACUGAAGAAGAUCUGCAGCCACCAGGGCUUCAUAUACAUGCUUUCCGUGUAAUCUGCUUUAUAAGUUACCCUUCACCACAGGACCAGUUUCUAGAUGGUAAACAUCUACAAAUAUUUUUAGAUAACAUUUUCACACCAAUAAAACUACAAUCACUAAAUUGUAAAACAAAUGUAACCUAAACCAAUGACUUGAGGUGGCAAAGAGACUCAGAAGGGGCAGUACCUUAAAUUAUUCCUUGCAGAGACAAUUUGAGGGCAGAGAACGCUGAAAGGUUAAGUUUGUUUGUAACCGUGGAAUUAGCUGCCUUUCUUUCCCCCCUGGGUAGGAAAGCUUUUACUUCUGGUGGGAUGCAUUGAUAACAACUGCUAAUCAGAGGCAGAGUUAUCCUCUUACUUUAUCCCGCAUCUAACUUUCUUUAUCCUACAUAUAAGUUCCUUCAACCAACUGUUCAUGGCACUGUGUCAGUAAUGACUUACUAGCACUUCAAGAUUUCUGGAAAUUCCUUGGCUCUCCUCCUGUUACCACUCCCAAGUUGGAAUACAAGGAAACUUGGCUGGAAAAUAUUAACAACCUUUGUGUUUUGUCUGCAUAGAGAAAAGAAUUGCUAUAAAUCGACUGCUGUUAGCUUAGAUAUUUUAAAGAAGAUUAGCAAAAUGAAUUGAUUUUUAAAUUCCCAUAAAGAAUAAAAUCGUUCCAGAAAAUAAAUUUUCUUAAAGGAAACAAAAACUUGUAAGUCUACAUUCAUGUAUAUUGUGCCUAAUUUUAAGAUGAAGUUAAUAGAAUGCUAAAUGGUUAACUUCAUCAGUCUGGAGACUUCUGGCACUCGUGACUGAUGGUUUGAAAAUGAAUUUGAGGUAGAAAUAAUAAUAAAAAAGGCAAAUCAUAGUCACAGUCAGUACAGUGUUGAUAAUACUUGUUUGGCUCUUACGAUUUGUAUCUGCUGUGAUCCAAUAAAGAUCACAACUUAGCAGUGGCUUCCCACUGAGAGACUUCAAGUAUACAGGAUUAUGUACCACUUAGAGACAUACACUGUGCCCUUGCUUUUUUCUGCAUGUAUCUGGAUAUCUGUGUUUUGCAUGUGGUGACAUUCUGAAUAUUACCUCUGCAGGUAAGAAUUCCAAGAAUCAUCAAGUCCAAUGUCUACUAAAGCAGACAAAUACAGUUUAAUGUUGAGGACGUGGGAUGUUCAAGGAAAAAUAUGUGAAAGAAUGUCUUUGAAUAAAUCUCAGAUCUGUUCUGCAAACAACAUGCUUAUCAAAAGAUGACUUUGAAGGCUUAUGAGAGACAGCAAGCAUGGUUAGAUGAGCAAACCUGGUUUGGAAUUGUGCCAUGUCCUUGGACCUUCCUACACAAAAAUGUUAAUCACACUUCUUCUAAAAACAAGAACAGAGAGAAUUGUGCACUUGUUUGUUUGGAUUGAUCCUGCCAGGACUGAGAGUUUAGCCAGCAAAGUGCAGCCAGGGGCUUGCUGGAGGAUUUUGUCUCAGAAGACACCAACAGUGAAGAUGAGAAAAAUCUAUUGGGUAAGGGUGAAGAGAGGCUGAGAUACUGCUGCUGCUACCCAUGUGGGAGUGAGGAGAGCUGAAAAUGGGCUUCGCUUGAGGAUGGAGCCAGUCCCCCAGAAUAUACUAAACUAUAUAACAGAGGCCAAAGUAAACAACAUCCAGCAAAAAGUAUUUGCAAAUGUAGAUAAAGCUUAGCUUUUCCCUCUGCAUGUAGUAGAUUCUGUCCUCUUGAGAGCGAUCCACUGAGGGUAAUCGCGAUGAUAUUUUCUUCAGGUAGUGAGGGAACCAUCACUGGUUGGGCUAAGCAGUACAGAUCUGCACCACAGCAGGUGGAGAAGGAAACGCAUACUGUAUAUUGUCAAAGUUCACAACACUGACUCGGAGAUGAUCUUUUCUCAGUGUUUGCUUGCUUGUCAGCAGGGCAGCUGCUGAUAAUGCUGCUGAGAACAGGCUUACACUUUUCUUCUGGCAUCUGGACGAAGAAGGUAUCAACACUGAAAGGAAGAGUCUAAGAGGCACUUGGACUGCAUUAGUUAAAACUACUGUGGUAAACUGGGGCUGGUUUGUAUCUCUCAAUCUCUCACAAAGUCUGUUUACAAAGGACACUAAGACUUGUCACAUCAAGGCAAUGGGUUCUCUAUGCUUUUUUUCUGACAGCUGAUUGGACAUGUGCAGUCCUUAUGAGAAGCAGAGGUUGGUAAGGUUUUCCAUAUGGCUUGUAGUUGUUUUUCUCCUCUCUUUCUCUACCAUCAGCAACCUGGAAAACAGCCAUUUGAAACUUCAAGAUUACAGAACACUCUUCUAGAUGUGACCUCUUCUGGAAGACAGUCUCUCGGGUUAGAAAUAUUCUAUUACUUUCCACGUUACCAACUGGAAAACAGUGAAACAUCCUUGAGCAGUAUUUCUCUAGACAUGCCAGUGAGAAGUCCCCUGUAUGGGCAACCUGGCACAAGGAACCAUUUAUUAAACAAGAGCUCAAAACAGAUGGUUGAAGUCACAGCAAAAUCUGUGCAGAUGAAAGCAGCAAGCCUGAAUUGCAAUGACUCUAAAUAGGAUGGGAGGGGAAUUCUCCUAGCUGCAGAACAUUUUCUUGCUGGUCAGCCUUGACAACUCACCAUUGCUUGAAGAAGCAGAGCCAAUCUAUCACUUUUAGCACUUCAGCAGGUGAUUAACCAGCAGCUGAGUCAUCCCUGGCCAGGGCUAGCACAUCCCAAACCAGGGGAGGGGUGGAUUGCUGGGGAAAGGAAGCACAACAAAUCUUCCUCUGCUAAUUCAUGCCAUCUGGAAGUGACAGCCUGUGGGCCUGCAGCUUUAUUUGCAAAAUAUUGUUUACAAUUUUUAUUACAAGGACUAUAGGGAAUAAGACUUAAUUAUAUUUAACAGUUCAUCAUCAUUACACAAACUGUUGUUCAGCAUUCAGCUUCAGAAAACAGGAAGCAAUACUCAUAAGAUUGGUUUCUCAGGUUUUUUUUUCUUUUUUCCAGACUAUUGUUGGUAAGAUGUCAAACAAUUAGAUGGGAAAACUGGAAUGGAACCCAGUGUCAUGCAGUUGGAGUCUUUUGGUGUGAGAGGGCUUUUUGGUGAGCCACAAAGGAUAUGAGCUGUUGCAGUCUUGACUCAUCAAUUUUGCUGGUGAUAAUCCAAGCUUGUUUGGGAGGUCUCUUGGCGCAAGAGUUUGUAAUAGAAGGGCAACAAACACAGAUGAUCCACUGCAAGCAGACACUGUGCGGUGCCUGCAGCUCACGUGUUCCAGCACUUGCACAAUCACUUUAAGUGCAAAAUUACAUAAAACCAGCAUUAACCCUACUAGAACUGGUCUUCUUAAGCUGCAAGGUUAGCCGUUCUAAUCAAGUGAAGGAGCCCACAAGUGUGAGAAGCAGCAUAUGCCUGAAGGUGCAUCUAUACAAAGGCAAAAGGAUUGGUGAAGGGGGCAGGAUCUCUACAAUUUGGCAACAGGAAGCUGUUCAAUAGCUCAGCUGUCUAAUUUAGCUCUCAGUACAACACUUUGUUUCCAGAUCUCAGCUGCAAUUUUAUAUAUAUUUAAAUGUAUAUAUCACUAUCAACUAAUGUAAAAAUAAGUUCCUUUCCUUGCAGUACAACCAAUAAUCAAAUACAAAAUGCUGCAAAAUGAAUGUACAUAGCGGAUUAUUCAUUAACCCACAGUGCAAGAAAGCCAAAUUCACAACGUAACACUUUAGAACACUUGGUUACAGUCAAAACAUGUCUUGAAAAAUCACUUUGAUCUAUUGUUUCCACUGUAAGGGACCAUCCAUUGCAGUUCCACCCUGACAUGGGGCUGAGCUGAAUUUCUGCCAUAAGGACUGGGGUGAGCAAGUGGACAAGUUUCUUUUCUCAAAGGAAAGACAGACUGCAGUCCAUCCUCAGAACAAGGGAAUUGAUGAGAAUGAGGCUCCAGGGUUCUGUAAGGGUGCAUGAAUGGAGGCAAGAUAGUCCCACAGUCGUUCCUUUUUGCCUCUGCUUCCCUAGACAGGAGGAAGAGCUGGGAACUGAGUAUGUGAUGCAGGUUCUGGAGGAAGCUACAUGAAAGCAUAUAAACAUCAGGAGUGUGAUAUCAACAGGUGAAUAUAAGGAUAUGAGAGAUCAAACAGGCUGUGUAUCUCCAUACUACAACCACAGCCUGAGAUACGCUAAGAGCCCAACACUCGUAGGAAAGAAACAAUUGCCUAAGAGCGCAGCUUUCCAUUCUGAGAACCUAAUCUGAAGUGCAGCACGUGUGCCUGGAGCUACAAAUUCAAAAAUCAGUGGCAGCACUGGGGAUGCUCCAGGCCUACAAAGAACAGGGCACAGCCUGCACCUUCCCUGUCCACAUGCAACAGCUGUGACUGAGACACUGUGACAAGUCUCCAUCUGCAGACUUGGGAGCUCUAAUACCUUAAGAGCAAGAGAAGUUGUGUUAUUCAAAAAAGUGAAGGAGCUUUGGCCUAGAUAUAUGUUUUUUUUUUUUUUUU